rnacentral:rRNA from 1 species
UACGUAGGGAGCAAGCGUUGUUCGGAUUUACUGGGCGUAAAGGGCGCGUAGGCGGCGCUGUAAGUCACUUGUGAAAUCUCUGAGCUUAACUCAGAACGGCCAAGUGAUACUGCAGUGCUAGAGUGCAGAAGGGGCAAUCGGAAUUCUUGGUGUAGCGGUGAAAUGCGUAGAUAUCAAGAGGAACACCUGAGGUGAAGACGGGUUGCUGGGCUGAUACUGACGCUGAGGCGCGAAAGCUAGGGUAGCAAACGGG